rnacentral:rRNA from 1 species
CCUUCCCCUGUUGCGUGUCUCAGGGAACUCUGAUGCAGCGACGCCGCGUGAACGAUGAAGGUCUUCGGAUCGUAAAGUUCUGUUGCAGGGGAAGAUAAUGACGGUACCCUGUGAGGAAGCCCCGGCUAACUACGUGCCAGCAGCCGCGGUAAUGGUU